UACGUAGGGGGCAAGCGUUGUCCGGAAUCAUUGGGCGUAAAGAGCGCGUAGGCGGCCCUGUAAGUCCGCUGUGAAAGUCAAGGGCUCAACCCUUGAAUGCCGGUGGAUACUGCAGGGCUAGAGUCCGGAAGAGGCGAGUGGAAUUCCUGGUGUAGCGGUGAAAUGCGCAGAUAUCGGGAGGAACACCAAUGGCGAAGGCAGCUCGCUGGGACGGUACUGACGCUGAGACGCGAAAGCGUGGGGAGCAAACAGGG
rnacentral:rRNA from 1 species